rnacentral:ncRNA from 1 species
CAACACUUCUUUCGACCCGCUAACCGAGACCUAUGGGUCGUUAAAUUACGUCUCUAUCUUACUCACAUAACAUCGCAC